UCUUGUAAGAAUUUUUCCUUCUCUCCCACUUACUCCUUGUCUUUUUAUUUUCUUCAUUAGAAUUACAUGACAAAAAUGGCAUUAGAGGAUGACAGAAACAAAUCAUUGAUACGCUCUGUAAUGUUGUCUGAUAGACGUGAAGUUUAUGAACCUCUUUAGGAAAUGGAUUUGCAAACAACAUCUGGGAGAGAAGAAUUUCAUCAAGGUCCUGCCUAGUAUUCUUCCUGUUUUCAAGAGACUGGAAAGCAAAACAUUUCAUUUCCAAGAUUCCCUUGUGGGUACAUUUCUGGAUGUGUUUAGGUUCUGCCAAUCACAUGUAUUCUGGUCACCUGGCUGAAGCUAGAACCAUGAUGGACCUAUCUCGGGAGCCUUGGCCCUGAAGGGAAAGCAACUGCUGUGGAAGAUGCCACUCAAGACAGAGAGAGGCCUUCCACCUUGGACUGCAUUAUCCUGGUUCUCCAGCUUAUAGACAGCAGAUCAUAGGACUUCUCCUCCUCCAUCACUCUGCACUCCAUGAGCACUUUGGAAAUUAAAGAAUUGCCAGCUUUUCCACUUUGGGACAAAAAACAUU